rnacentral:tRNA from 1 species
GCCGGCGUGGCGGAAUUGGCAGACGCGCGGGACUCAAAAUCCCGUGUCUUCACGGACGUGUGGGUUCGACCCCCACCGCCGGCACUA